CGUCUAUAUACGUAUAGCAUAUCAAUAAGCGGAGGAAAAGAAACUAACUAGGAUUCCCUUAGUAACGGCGAGUGAAGCGGGAAGAGCUCAAAUUUGAAAUCUUCAAGGUUCUACCUUGACGAAUUGUAGUUUAAAGAAGUGUUUUCUGUUGGAGUUUUGGUAAAAGUUCUUUGGAAUAGGACAUCAUAGAGGGUGAGAAUCCCGUAUUUGACCAUUAUUUCCAACUUUGUGAUACACUUUCAAAGAGUCGGAUUGUUUGGGAAUGCAGUCCAAAAUGGGUGGUAAAUUUCAUCUAAAGCUAAAUACUGGCGAGAGACCGAUAGCGAACAAGCUACCGUGAGGGAAAGAUGAAAAGAACUUUGAAAAGAGAGUUAAACAGUACGUGAAAUUGUCAAAAGGGAAGCGUUUGACACCAGUGUUGUUUUCUCGAAAAUCAAUUAAAAAUGGCGGGAUUUUGUGUUGUAUUGACUUUAUCAGCUUUCUGCACUUUUUUCCUGUCUUUUUUAAUGCACUUUUCGUUUAACAAGUCAACAUCAAUUUCUUUUGUUGUAAAAGGGUCAUUGGAAGGUGGCUUUCUUUUCGGAGAAAGUGUUUAUAGCCUUUGACUUCUGCAAUCGGAGAGAUUGAGGUCUGCAGCGUAGAUCCUUCGGGGUUAGAUAGCCUUUGUGCUAAGUUAUAGCCUUUCAUAGACUAACUUGUUGACUAUGAUCAGUCAUGUAGCUUACUCGCUUAUGUCAUUUUACCUACGCUUAGGAUGUUGAUCUGUAGUGCGUGCGC
rnacentral:rRNA from 1 species